rnacentral:lncRNA from 1 species
CCGUUUUCGCUCGUUUUCGUUCGUUUGACCUCCGAUUCAUCUCAAAUCGAACCGAGGCUCUAUAAACAUGUUUUCGAGCACGAUCUCAUCAUCUUUUCAUCCACGCUAAUGCCGGAUUUAGCUCAUGGUCCAACAUAGCCUUUCGGGUCCCGUUUUCACGCCUACGCGCACCGAAAACGUCAAUCUCGCAUUGUUUCGACUCCAAUUCACACCGAGCAAUGCUAAAACCUUUCGAACCUCAUUGGAACUCACUUUUAACCCUUCCAACACUGUUGGAAUGUUAAAUAGACUUCGUCCGACCAUUUCUCUUGAGUACUUUAGUCGAUUUGGCUAAAGUCCUCAAUAUUCUACCGAGAUCUCGGGGGUUACACAAAUGGUGCAAGAAUCUGCACUUGGCAGAUUUGCUUUCGGAGACCGGUCCCUGGCGGGAGGGACCGAUUCCCGAACGUGGUUUGCGCGAGCAUGCUCUCGGGGACCGGUCCCAAGAGAGAGGGACCGGUUGCCCCG